ACUCAUGCUGCAGUCCUUUUCCAGCCUCAUGCAGGAGCAGGUGGAUAUUUCCUAAAGGAACUGAGGCCUGUGGGGAGUCCACACUGGAGCAUUUCAUGGAGAGGACCCAUGCUGGAGCAGGGGGAACCUGUAUGGAGGGGAAGGAGCAGUAGACAGGAGCUAUUGUGGGCUAACUCCAUAACCUGCUAUUCUUUGUCUUCCUGCACUGCUUGGUGAGGAAGUGGUAGAGAGGAUGGGAGUGAAGAGGUGAAGUAGAGCCUGGGGUAAAAAAACAAGAGGGAGAAUAAGUUGUUUUAAGGUUUGUCUUUGUUUCUGACCAUCCAACUCCAACAGUAUGAGGGGUGGUUAGUCUCUGGAGUGGGCUGCCCAGGGAUGUUGUGGCUGCCCCCCUCAACCAACUCAGGUUGUUUGAGGCCUUAAACAGCUGAGUCUAGUUGAGAGGUGUCCCUGCCCAUGAUGGGGAGGUUGGAGUAGCUAAUCUCUGAGGUCCUUUCCAACCUGAACCACUCUAGGAUUUUAGCUGGCAAUAAUUUAAAUGUAUUUUCCUCAAGUUGAGUCUAUUUUGCUCGUUGACAGUGAGAUGACUUCCUUCUGUUUCCUUCAAACUGUGUUUGUUCAUCUUUUUUUUUCUCCCCUUGACCUGUUAAGGAGGGAGACUGAGUAGGGCAUCUAGUAGCUGGUCAAGGUCAGCAUGCCCUGACGCUGGACCUCAGUCACAAGCCCGUGGAGCCAGAAAACCAAUGGAAGUAUCCCAUAGGUUCUUCAUCAUCUCACAGUUGUUACGUUGUCAGCAGGAGCUAGAAGCUUCACGUGGGGAAGAGGGAGAAAAAGCAGAGCCUGGAGGAAGAGGCUGGUGUGCAGUGCCGGUGAUGAGGAGGGGCUGCUCUCAGCACUAGAGUCCCUCCUGAGCAGAGUGCUGGCAGUGCUAGAGAAGGACAGAGGGAAGUUGGGUGUACUCAGCUGACAUUGAGAUACUCAGUCCUGAAGGUUGGAAGAUGGAACGAGAGAAGACAAAAUAAAGGCAGGGCAAAGCAGCUGAUAAGAGAGGCAGGAGCAGCAUCGGGAGCUGGCAGCAAGGCUAGCAGAAGGCCUGAGCUGGAGGCAAGGCGUGAGGCAGCAGCGAUGGAGAGCACAGACAGAUACCCGGGAUUUCAUCUUCCUGGCUGGGGAGGCAGCAGCAGAAGAAGAAAGCACAACCUAUUACAACAACAGUGCUGGCCCAGCUGAACAUAUUAUCUCCUGUCAGUGGUAUUUCUUCUGCGAAUUUUAGUAGGUAAAUGACCAGGCCAGUGAUCUGGAAAGCAGCAACAGCAAAGAGCAAGCCUCCAAUUCCUCGCACAAAGCUGAAGCAGAGUAUCUCAAUUGAGAACACAGUGACUGCGAGGGCAAAGCAGAUGACCAGGAUCACAAAGUCAACAAGGUUUCAAUUAAACUGGAAGGCCAAGCAACCUCCAUGUCUUUCUAGCAUGAGCA